rnacentral:rRNA from 1 species
UGGUAGGUACAGAGGGCAGCUACCCAGCGAGUGGGGUGCGAAUCUCGAAAGCCUAUCUCAGUUCGGAUUGGAGGCUGAAACCCGCCUCCAUGAAGUUGGAUUCGCUAGUAAUCGCGCAUCAGCCAUGGCGCGGUGAAUACCUUCCCGGGCCUUGUACACACCGCCCGUCAAGCCAUGGGAGCUGGGGGUGCCUGAAGUUCGUGACCGCAAGGAUCGACCUAGGGCAAAACCGGUGACUGGGGCUAAGUCGUAACAAGGUAAC